rnacentral:tRNA from 1 species
GGAGACCUAGCUCAGUGGCAGAGCGUGGGAUGGGAGGGCGCCCUUCAUCCAUCCUUGGUCAGUGGUUCGAAUCCGCUGGUCUCCA